rnacentral:tRNA from 1 species
UCCGGUAUAGUGUAGGGGUUAACAUAACCCGCUUUCAAUAAUUUGCUUUGGAGCACCGGGUAGCCCCGGGUUCGAUUCCCGGUACCGGAA